rnacentral:rRNA from 1 species
CCCUUAGAUGUCCUGGGCUGCACGCGCGCUACACUGGAAGUUACGGAUUGAGAUACUACCUUGUCCGAAAUGGUCCGGGUAAUCACCUAAAAGCUUGUCAUAAUUGGGAUGGAUUAUUGUAACUAGUAAUCCUGAACGAGGAAUUCCUAGUAAGUCCCAGUCAACAGCUGGUACUGAUUACGUCCCUGCCCUUUGUACACACCGCCCGUCGCUACUACUGAUUGGACGUUUAAGCAAGAUUUUUAAACACUGACAGUGUGUAGUUCACGCUAUACUACAGUGAGAAGAAGAAGAUCGAGCUUACUUGUCUAGAGGAAGUAAAAGUCGUAACA